AUGUAACCCAGGUUAAAAUUCUGCAUUAAAAACAGUAAACUAUUAGUUCAUUGUUGCUGAAAACUGGGAUGGUUGCUAAAGAAAAGUGAAAAUUCAAAUUAAAAGGUAAUUCAUGAAUGGUGAGAUUUGUAUUAAAAAAUAAUUCAUGAAGUGUGUUAAUGUUUAAGACAAUUAUUUAAAAUUGAUGUUUGUCUUAAAAGCAACUGAACUGCGAAGAGAAAAUGAUAAAUAAAUAGGAAGUUUAUUUUGAAGGAGAAAGAUUGGAGAUGUGCCGUCAGCCAAUCUGGAAACAGCUUCGUUUUUGCUUUUCGCGGAGCGGAGUUGACGUCCUCUUGAGCUGCGGAGAGAGAGAGAGCGAUCCUCGUGUUGAGCACGAUACCUACCCCGUGAAGCUAAUGAAAUAAACGCUGGAAGAGACCAAUUAAAAUUAAACUAAAAACUCACUGAUAACCCGUGUGGAGCCUGGACCUGUGAGAGUGCCGUCGAAGAGACUUGACGUCCCUCACAAAGGAAAAAGCAUCGGUCAGGUUUUUUUGUUGGACCCCUUUGAGCCUUUGAUCUACCUGGAUGUUGGAGCUUCGGAUCGAGAUGUUGAUGGCGAGCUACAGCCCAGAGAGGAACUAAAGAUACGGCGCCUACAGAGGAUUGAGAGCCCGAAAUUCAGCACUACAUUACACACACACGCCUUCAGCGGUGCGGUAGGACAGACUCUCUCCACUUUCUCGGUGGACUGAUCAGAACUAAAACUGAAACUGAUUCAAAGUGACUGAAAGCAAGGGAAAUUGGAAAUUGUGAACUCUAAUAUAACUCUAAAUCACAGCUGUGAGUCUUCUUUAUACUUUAUUUUGGUUUUUACUUACCCGGGUAAGAAUUGUAAUAUUGUGUGUACUCAAUCUGUUUUAUCCUUCCCACAUUGUAAUAAAUAGGGAAGCGCUAUACGUUUC